rnacentral:lncRNA from 1 species
AAGAAAGCCAUUCUCUGAAACCUUUCUGGGGCUGGAGCACUUGUCAAGAGUAAACAGAAAAGGAAUAAAGCUUGCCUCUUUUUUUGAAAAACCCAGCUGGACAAUGGGCAUAUUCAAUGGCCAAGGCCUCCUCUAAUUGCUGGCUUGGGAAGAACUGGAGAUAACUCAGCAAUGGAGAGACAAGGAGGGCUCCUAGGGAACAACUUGGAGACCGAGGAAUCUUGCUGAAUGCCAGCAGAAAAUCUGGAAGCAGAGCCAGUAUAAUUCAGCAUUACUGAGCCCACUGAGCUCUCCAGGGAAGUAUAAAUUGAGCACAGAAGCUCUGAAAUGGAUUGUAACCACAACAUCAGAGGUUAUAAGACCCUCAUUCCAGAGUGGUACUGCCCUGCGUCUGGGAAGAAGGAAGGCCACACAGAGAGACCAAGAAGAAUCCUAACAGACAGGGCUUGCUUGGUUUCCCCCUCAGUCUCUUACCGUUAGAUCAGACCUCUUUGGUCCUACCACGUUUCUACAUGGCUGUCCAUUCUUCAUCGAAUCUAAGAAUAAAAAUGGAUAGUUUUCCCUGGGUCUUUGGGUCUUCAUUUCUGAAGGCUUCCUGUAUCAGGAAGCAUGAAGAUUAGAAGGAAAAAUUACCAAAAAACAUAAAAACAAAAACAACUCAACUGUAAUACAUUUCUGGCUCAACUGGAAAGGUAAAGAACUAUAAUUUAAUUCUCUUGGCCUAAUUUUGUCCGUGCUGUUUAAAACCAUUAAGUGAUUAUAAUUUUGAAAAAUACCAGAGAAGCAUAGUGCACCUGCUCUUUCAGCUUACAUUAUAGAGAAGAAGAAAACUACAACAUCUUGAUAGCAGCACCUCUGUGUUUUUAGUAAGUCUCCAUUAAGGGAGUGAUGCCUAUGUAGCAG